rnacentral:lncRNA from 1 species
CUCGCGCAGUCGCGGCAGCAGCUCGCAUCCCCUUAAGUGCAGGCAAAUUUUAACUUUUCUUCUUAAAGACAGGGCAAUUAACUGUGGCGAGUGUUACACUGAACGACGUCGACUCCAACAUGCGAUCCUCCAGCAAAAUUUCAGCAAGAACAGUGCAGCGGUACAAGAGAUCCUGUGGCCUCCUCUUCCACAUAGGACCAUUAACCAGAGGGGUGCAAGAAAAAAUCUGACUACAAGGUCAGCUCGUUCUGACACCACCAUGAAGCCAGCACAGAGUGUUGCAGAAACCUGUUACCUAAAAUAUAAAAACCACAAUGGGGAAAGUCAUGGAAUGUGACAUAAGUGGAAGUGCGAUACCAUCAGGAUACAUAAAGAAACACUAAAGGGAUUAUGUGCGCAGAGUUGAGACUUCUGUCAGUGUGUGUGAAUGUCAGCAAAUGGACUACGAUGACAAUCUGACACAAAGAGCGGCCACAGCGCAUCGAUGCCAUUCCACGUGCAGUGAGAAGAGAAGCAUGCACUAGUGCGCAUGAGAGUAUUCGGGGAGAAGACAACCAGCAAGGCAGAAGUGGAAGGAGAAGAUGCUGUCCAUGGCACAGGAGUAACGGUCUGUCAAAUUGGGCAUU